rnacentral:rRNA from 1 species
AGAGUUUGAUCCUGGCUCAGGAUGAACGCUGGCGGCGUGCUUAACACAUGCAAGUCGAACGAAGCACUUUAUUUGAUUUCUUCGGAAUGAAGAUUUUGUGACUGAGUGGCGGACGGGUGAGUAACGCGUGGGUAACCUGCCUCAUACAGGGGGAUAACAGUUGGAAACGACUGCUAAUACCGCAUAAGCGCACAGGGUCGCAUGACCUGGUGUGAAAAACUCCGGUGGUAUGAGAUGGACCCGCGUCUGAUUAGCCAGUUGGUGGGGUAACGGCCUACCAAAGCGACGAUCAGUAGCCGACCUGAGAGGGUGACCGGCCACAUUGGGACUGAGACACGGCCCAAACUCCUACGGGAGGCAGCAGUGGGGAAUAUUGCACAAUGGGGGAAACCCUGAUGCAGCGACGCCGCGUGAGCGAAGAAGUAUUUCGGUAUGUAAGGCUCUAUCAGCAGGGAAGAAGAAAUGACGGUACCUGACUAAGAAGCACCGGCUAAAUACGUGCCAGCAGCCGCGGUAAUACGUAUGGUGCAAGCGUUAUCCGGAUUUACUGGGUGUAAAGGGAGCGCAGGCGGUACGGCAAGUCUGAUGUGAAAGCCCGGGGCUCAACCCCGGUACUGCAUUGGAAACUGUCGGACUAGAGUGUCGGAGGGGUAAGUGGAAUUCCUAGUGUAGCGGUGAAAUGCGUAGAUAUUAGGAGGAACACCAGUGGCGAAGGCGGCUUACUGGACGAUUACUGACGCUGAGGCUCGAAAGCGUGGGGAGCAAACAGGAUUAGAUACCCUGGUAGUCCACGCUGUAAACGAUGAAUACUAGGUGUCGGGGAGCAUUGCUCUUCGGUGCCGCAGCAAACGCAAUAAGUAUUCCACCUGGGGAGUACGUUCGCAAGAAUGAAACUCAAAGGAAUUGACGGGGACCCGCGCAAGCGGUGGAGCAUGUGGUUUAAUUCGAAGCAACGCGAAGAACCUUACCAAGUCUUGACAUCCCGAUGACAGAACAUGUAAUGUGUUUUCUCCUCGGAGCAUCGGUGACAGGUGGUGCAUGGUUGUCGUCAGCUCGUGUCGUGAGAUGUUGGGUUAAGUCCCGCAGCGAGCGCAACCCCUAUUCUUAGUAGCCAGCGGUUCGGCCGGGCACUCUAGGGAGACUGCCAGGGAUAACCUGGAGGAAGGUGGGGAUGACGUCAAAUCAUCAUGCCCCUUAUGACUUGGGCUACACACGUGCUACAAUGGCGUAAACAAAGGGAAGCGAGCCUGCGAGGGGGAGCAAAUCUCAAAAAUAAUGUCUCAGUUCGGACUGCAGUCUGCAACUCGACUGCACGAAGCUGGAAUCGCUAGUAAUCGCGAAUCAGAAUGUCGUGGUGAAUACGUUCCCGGGUCUUGUACACACCGCCCGUCACACCAUGGGAGUUGGUAAUGCCCGAAGUCAGUGACCUAACCGCAAGGAGGGAGCUGCCGAAGGCAGGAUCGAUAACUGGGGUGAAGUCGUAACAAGGUA